rnacentral:rRNA from 1 species
AGCGAACGCUGGCGGCAGGCCUAACACAUGCAAGUCGAACGGAUCCUUCGGGAUUAGUGGCGGACGGGUGAGUAACACGUGGGAACGUGCCCUUUGGUUCGGAACAACUCAGGGAAACUUGAGCUAAUACCGGAUGUGCCCUUCGGGGGAAAGAUUUAUCGCCAUUGGAGCGGCCCGCGUCUGAUUAGCUAGUUGGUGAGGUAACGGCCCACCAAGGCGACGAUCAGUAGCUGGUCUGAGAGGAUGAUCAGCCACACUGGGACUGAGACACGGCCCAGACUCCUACGGGAGGCAGCAGUGGGGAAUCUUGCGCAAUGGGCGAAAGCCUGACGCAGCCAUGCCGCGUGAAUGAUGAAGGUCUUAGGAUUGUAAAAAUCUUUCAGCGGGGACGAUAAGGACGGUACCCGCAGAAGAAGCUCCGGCUAACUUCGU